CAUCUCUUGCAGCUGUGGCAGGGGUAGAGGCCCUGGACCUGCUCUGCACAACUGCAGGUAGCAAAACAUCCCCUUGCAUUACCUACACUUGAAAAUGGACCUGGGAAAGGAUAGGACGGCUCUGCUCUUUCCUUGGCACUGACUCCUAGGUCCCCGCCACCACCCGCAUCAAACAGUCCCCAUUUGCACGCCCUCACCGCCUUCUCCUCGCCUCGCCGCCCGCCGUGACGAGACUUCCCCGAGACCACCGGGGGUGUCUGCGGCGGCCCCCAAACACUGGACGUGGUCACGGAACCGGCCCACACCCGCCCAGCUCGCCGCGGGAAGGAGGAGGUCUCCGUGAGGGCAGCGGGUAGACCCGGGAGACUCUUCCGCGGGCUCUGAGGUGACAAAGCCGGCAUGGCAAUGAGAGACACCGAGGAGCUCUGGGAAGUGCCUACCCCAGAUUCAGUUAUUAACUUUCACCAGGCGGCUGCAACUACGGCACCCGGCAUCCCCCGCUGGGCCAGCGCCUGCAAAGGCGGCCGGGAAGUGUAGUCCUCCCGCCCCGCCGCCGCCUCACCGCCCGCCCGCCGGCGGGAGCUGCCGGCCCGCCUCGCCUGCCCUCAUCUCCCGGGCGCUGGGCGGGAACACAAGUCCUGGCUCGGAACGGAGCUGCCUCCGCAGAGUCCUGUAGGUUUCCACGUCUUGGCCGAUGAGGGAGAGGUGGUCCAGGCAGGUCCUCCAUGGAGGCCGCUCCUCUCCAACAGGCAUCUGGGGGCUAAAGGCGCAAAGGUCCUUCAUGAAACACUGGCUGUGCUGAGAGGAACAUCAAGAAGGCAGGCGUCAAGGGGAACGCACAGACAAUGAGGGGACAGAGGUGUUCAUCCUUCACCCCAGGAGGGGGAUGCCGUCCCCACCCUCAUGGCAUUGCACAAAAUGGCCGCUGCCCACAGGAGGCCCAGUUCCUUGGGAAGGCAGAGCUGUAGCAAGAAGUUUUGACGUUUUGGCAGUUACAAGGGUACAUUUGCCACAGCUGGCCUCCUGGCCAGCCAGGUCCACAAAUAUUAAGGAUGUCCCAUGCUCCCUCAGCCACAUCAGGGCUGAUGUCCCUGCCCACAGCCGCCAAGGCACCAGGGCUGCAUUUUUACUACUGAGCAACGUUCUCAAGCACCGUUGGUUGCACGUUUUACAACAGAGAAACGCUCUCUCUACCGUCUGUAUUUAACAGUAGAAGGUAAAUUAUGCGGGGAGACACCAGUAUAACAGCUCACAUGUUUCAGCCUAAGAGGAGCUUAUUUUGUUGAUGACCAAUUUAAAGUAUUUAAUGUUGAAAUUUUUUAUAAUCACAGCCAUGAGGAUUUAAGCUCUUCACUUUUUAUUUCACCUGACUUAUUAUCAGCCCACUUACGUAUUAAAUCUAUUACCUUCAUAAGAUCAUGAGCUUUCUGUGACAGCUCUGUCUUCUAAUGUCUUCCACAAUGUUUCUAACUAGCAACAUUCCUGGCCCCAAAAACACCCUCAAGAAAAGCAAUAAAAAUGUGAAAGCGGAACUGUCAAAGAUUCAUGUCUAGAAAAGUUGUCAGAACACAUGCAAAAAUAACCUAGGAAGACACCUAUGAACUAUAACUCCAGAGCAUGUAAGAUUUAGUGAGAGAAGGAACCUCUAGAUGCCUUAAGAAUAUUUUAUCACUGUGACAGCCAGGUGCUAAAAAAUAUUAAUAGGCAAAGCUUAAAAAAGAAUAUCUGGAAACUGUCACUCAAGUAAUCAGCUGCUGGUCAUGAAGCAUACAGCUCCUCCCAUCUCGUGUUGAGAUGUUGUCCAUUUUUCUGUACAACCCAUAAAGCUGAGCAACUCUCUGGACUUGCCGUACAAGUUUUGCUAUGUUGAGCGCACAGGCCUGAACAUCGCAUUAGUUAAAACAAGCCAUGUGGAAACAAAAGAACGUUUUAGAGAUGUGAGUAGCAAGCAUCCAAAGUCAGGUGGAAAAAUGUUUUUAAUUGCAGACAUCUGUGUUCAUGGAACAUUACUACUCCCUGUCAUAUUUGAUUACAGGUAACUGUUCUGUUGCUUUUGAUGAAGUGGAGAAAAAACCCAGCAGAGGUAGCGGCCACACACUAACCUUGAACUGUAAGCACCAAGAAAGAGGCUACAGAGGGUAAAGUCUGUUAUUCCUCCAUGGGAAUCCAGCAACACAGAGGAGGACUACAGAAGAGCAAUGGGGGGCUCAUUGCUCAAAAGCUACAUGCAACUCCAUGUGAUGGAACAGAAAAGACAUUCACGCUACUGUUGUGCUUUCUUGAAUAUCAGCACGUGGCAGAGCACCCAGAACUACCCGAUUUGCUCGAACGAGUUAAAAGAACAGUUACCCUCUAGCAGUUCCAGGCUGGCACCACCUCCCGUGCUGACAUGGCUAACUUUAUCCUCAGUGUUCCACUUUGCACAGCAAGUCGCUGUAUCUCCACCACC